GUCCCAGUAGCUCAAUCGGAUAGAGCAUCCCCCUCCUAAGGGGAAGGUUGGAGGUUCGACCCCUCUCUGGGACGCCA
rnacentral:tRNA from 16 species